GACGAACGCUGGCGGCGUGCCUAAUACAUGCAAGUCGAACGCAGUGGGGACGGGUGAGUAACACGUGGGUAACCUCCCAUCAGAGGGGAUAACACUUGGAAACAGGUGCUAAACCGAUACUGAUGGAUGAACCCGCGGUGCAUUAGCUAGUUGGUGAGGUAACGGCUCACCAAGGCGACGAUCCGUAGCUGGCGUGAGAGGGGGACCAGCCACACUGGGACUGAGACACGGCCCAGACUCCUACGGGAGGCAGCAGUGGGGAAUUUUGGACAAUGGGGGAAAGUCUGAUCGAGCAAUGCCGCGUGAGUGAGGAAGGUUUUCGGGUUGUAAAGCACUGUUGGCAGGAAAGCGGUACCUGAAGAGUAAGCAACGGCUAACUACGUGCCAGCAGCCGCGGUAAUUC
rnacentral:rRNA from 1 species